UGGCGAUGAUGAUAAAACUAAGGCUUGUUUCUCAAAACAUUUGCAGUUGCCGCCUAAGAGCUUUCGCCCUGCCAGGCUUGAGAGCUAAUGCUGCUAAUUCCUUCCUUGGAUGUCUGAGCCA
rfam:Triticum aestivum genome assembly, contig: Triticum_aestivum_CS42_TGACv1_scaffold_062960_1DL